rnacentral:rRNA from 1 species
UACGAAGGGGGCUAGCGUUGUUCGGAAUCACUGGGCGUAAAGCGCACGUAGGCGGACUGAUAAGUCGGGGGUGAAAUCCCGGGGCUCAACCCCGGAACUGCCUUCGAUACUGUCAGUCUCGAGUCCGAGAGAGGUGAGUGGAAUUCCUAGUGUAGAGGUGAAAGUCGUAGAUAUUAGGAAGAACACCAGUGGCGAAGGCGGCUCACUGGCUCGGUACUGACGCUGAGGUGCGAAAGCGUGGGGAGCAAACAGG